AUGAUUGGCAACAAAAGUGAACUGAAAACUUCCUUGCUCACUUCUUUUCACAAAUCAGAAUUAGGAGGACACUCUGGUGAAAGAGCAACUUAUCACAGACUAAAAAUCCUUUUUACAUGGCCUGGCAUGAGGAAAGUUGUGCAAACUUUUGUUCAACGGUGCCCUGUCUGUCAAUUGAACAAAGCUCAACAUGUGCACCCUCCUGGCUUGCUACAACCCCUCCAAGUUCCAGACUUUGCUUGGACUCACAUUAGCAUGGAUUUUGUGGAAGGACUGCCUAAAUCUGAACACAAAGACAUGAUAGUGGUGGUGGAUCGUUUCACCAAAUAUGCUCAUUUUGUUGCUAUGAGGCACCCCAUUACUGUAAAGAUAGUAGCACAAGCCUUCACUGACAAUAUAUUCAGAUUACAUGGUCUGCCCACUGUCAUAGUGACAUACAGAGAUAGGAUUUUCACUAGUCAUCUCUAG
rnacentral:rRNA from 1 species